rnacentral:rRNA from 1 species
UACGAAGGGGGCUAGCGUUGUUCGGAUUUACUGGGCGUAAAGCGCGCGUAGGCGGAUCGUUAAGUCGGGGGUGAAAUCCUGGAGCUCAACUCCAGAACUGCCUUCGAUACUGGCGAUCUUGAGUCCGGAGGAGGUGAGUGGAACUCCUAGUGUAGAGGUGGAAUUCGUAGAUAUUAGGAAGAACACCAGUGGCGAAGGCGGCUCACUGGUCCGGUACUGACGCUGAGGUGCGAAAGCGUGGGGAGCAAACAGG